AGUCUAGAUUAUGUGUUGGUGUUCCACACAAAAUAGUACUGAGGGUAGAAAUCCAAGAAAUGGCCAACAUGUUUGUUUGCCUGUAAGAACAACCGCCCCAGCUAAGACACUCAGCUAACUAGGACACGAGUACCACAUGAAUGUUAAGUGCCCUAAGACUCUCCCCAAUAUGGAAGAGGGAGUCUCAGUCCUGGGGAUCAGAUGUUCCCAGGAUGGGGAUCUUGGCCUUACCUUUUUCUCCUCUUCUCAUCUAGCUCCAGUUUUGCAUGCCUCUUUGAAAACACACUGUCAUCCAGGUUCUGGAAGAGGAACAGCAGGGUGUCUUCAAACACCAAGGAAUCUUACUCUUCCACAUCCAACAGACGGAGAAGGAAGCUCCCAACCAGCCACCAUCCCACCAAUCCCCAACCCAGGCCCGGCCAGCAAUUCCUAAUCUACUCACCAGCCAAGACUGAAGUUUCUCCUGCAACACUUGAUGGCAUCAGACACCCUAAAUAAUGCAGGAAAGAAGAAUCAUCUCAGUGGUGGUUUCCCUGCAACAGUUGAUGGCCAAGGAUACCAAACCUUAAACUCAGAACAUGGCAGGUGAGUAAAAGUCGACCCUAGUUGUCAAAUAAAUAGACGAGUGUUCUCAGCACUUACAGACGGAGUCUUCUUAAAGUUCCUCCUCCCUCCACACAAACUACCUUGCUGGUCCAGCCUGAACAACACACACAAAGACUUGGGCUUCCUUAGGAUAAGUCAUUGAGACUUCCUCUUGAGAUAGGGGCGUCAUACAAUAAGGGUUCACACAUUUAUGCAGAACUCCGGCUCCUCAAGAGACUGGGAUCUCCCAGUCAGUCACACUCCCUCAUAGUGUUAAGCCCACAAUCUCAGAUGUGUUUGGAACUUGCUCUACUAGAG